GAGGGGUAUAGUUCUUCGGAGCUAGAGACCGGCGCACGGGUGCGUAACGCGUAUGCAAUCUACCUUUUACAGAGGGAUAGCCCAGAGAAAUUUGGAUUAAUACCUCAUAGUAUGUGAGAAUCGCAUGGUUUUCACAUUAAAGUUCCAACGGUAAAAGAUGAGCAUGCGUCCCAUUAGCUAGAUGGUAAGGUAACGGCUUACCAUGGCGACGAUGGGUAGGGGUCCUGAGAGGGAGAUCCCCCACACUGGUACUGAGACACGGACCAGACUCCUACGGGAGGCAGCAGUGAGGAAUAUUGGACAAUGGGCGCAAGCCUGAUCCAGCCAUGCCGCGUGCAGGAUGACGGUCCUAUGGAUUGUAAACUGCUUUUGUACAGGAAGAAACACUCCCUCGUGAGGGAGCUUGACGGUACUGUAAGAAUAAGGAUCGGCUAACUCCGUGCCAGCAGCCGCGGUAAUACGGAGGAUCCAAGCGUUAUCCGGAAUCAUUGGGUUUAAAGGGUCCGUAGGCGGUUUAAUAAGUCAGUGGUGAAAGCCCAUCGCUCAACGGUGGAACGGCCAUUGAUACUGUUAAACUUGAAUUAUUAGGAAGUAACUAGAAUAUGUAGUGUAGCGGUGAAAUGCUUAGAGAUUACAUGGAAUACCAAUUGCGAAGGCAGGUUACUACUAAUGGAUUGACGCUGAUGGACGAAAGCGUGGGUAGCGAACAGGAUUAGAUACCCUGGUAGUCCACGCCGUAAACGAUGGAUACUAGCUGUUGGGCGCAAGUUCAGUGGCUAAGCGAAAGUGAUAAGUAUCCCACCUGGGGAGUACGU
rnacentral:rRNA from 1 species